rnacentral:lncRNA from 1 species
CGAAACAAAAUAACCUUACCAUUUUUGUUUUGGGCCACUGUCAACAUUUCCAUUUCCUGAACCUAACUAACACUUAGUUGCUUCCAUUUCCUCAUCUGGUGAUACAUCCUCAUCUUCUUCUUGCUCAGAUCCCUUUCUCAUAUCCAGGACAGGCUUAGGUACGCUUUAGUUUGAAAUCAUGAGACCCUGCAAGAGAAGAACCACAUUUUGUUUCUUCAGCUUUCUAUCAUGGACCAGGAAACUGAAUUUUCAGAAAAACCAGAGAGAGUGAUCAGCUGAUAUAUAUCCCAUUUUAUUUGCACGUGUGGUCAAGCAUGAAAAUUUCAGCAUGUGGCAAGUGCAGCAUACCUUAGCUUUUCAUUUGACAAGUCAAUAUGUGUCUCAUCACUGAAACAAGGAACGCACGUUUUGUGCAGACCAUGU